rnacentral:rRNA from 1 species
UACGAAGGGGACUAGCGUUGUUCGGAAUCACUGGGCGUAAAGCGCACGUAGGCGGAUGUGUCAGUCAGGGGUGAAAUCCCGGGGCUCAACCUCGGAACUGCCUUUGAUACAGCACGUCUCGAGUCCGGAAGAGGUGGGUGGAAUUCCUAGUGUAGAGGUGAAAUUCGUAGAUAUUAGGAAGAACACCGGUGGCGAAGGCGGCCCACUGGACCAUUACUGACGCUGAGGCGCGAAAGCGUGGGGAGCAAACAGG